rnacentral:tRNA from 1 species
AAUAAAGUGUCUGAUUAAAGUAAUAAAAUGUAAAUUUAUUUAAAGAAAAUUAUUUCUCUUUAUUA